CCAGUUAUGGCCCUUUAAUAACGUCGUCAGCCGUCGUUAAGAUCAUAGUUUACUACAACCACCCUGGAUCCCUGCCCUGAUCUACAGCUUUCAUUCUGAGGGUUAUUAUUAUAAAUCGAUUGUAAUAACCUACGUCAGUUGCGCAACGUACGGCAGCGCCUGACGUAGGUAAUGUUGGUUCUCUGACCGCGCGUCGAUCUCCGAUCUCCUUCCACCGCAAAGUUACACAGUGGAUACAAACUAAUUCAAAAGUAUAUCCCGAUUAUUUCGCGGUUGUUUUAUUAUUAUUAAUAUUCUUUAUUAAAAGACAAGCCAGCAUACCGUUCCCAAAGCUGUCUCCUGGAUGCUUCUGGUCCUCGCCGUGCCGGUUCGUAAAACACAUCACAGUCGUGGCCAGCCUUCUGGAAGACCACCGUGACGUCCGCCUCGGCCCGGCGGGGGACGACGCGUAGCGCCCGGUCCUCUCCUAUCAUCUGAUCGCCUCGCUCAGUGCGGUCGUCCAUGGGGGCAGAACGAAAACACAACCCGACUCCUGCGGGACAACCAAAACUUUCCCUCCUCUCCCUCCCUCCCCAGUACCCUCCCUCGUGUUUACCCUAUGAGUUCUCAGGUUCCCAGCCAAUGGUUCCCACACAGCCCAGUGGCGUGACACCCCACUACAUAGGAUAGGAUAACACUCACAAAUAGGGUAUUAGGAUAUCCUCGUUUGUCCUGCUUGUUAUCUCUUUUCAUUAUAAACUAUUAGAUUAAAUUAUGAUUCCCAGAUGGGAUAUUCGGGUGAACCUGCAGAAAGCAUGGCUACAGGACAGAAGUGGAAUUGAAAAGAAAAAUGCUAAAACACAUUUUUAUAACAAUAUAACAUAGAAAAUAUUUAUAUCAUUACAAUUUGAGUAACAUAAAUGUAUAUGAAUGAAUGUAGUCAAUAUCAAAAGUAGAAGUUGUUAUUAUUGACAAUAAUAAUGUUUACUGUAUGAUAGCCUACAUUAUUAUUAACAACCAGGCCUAUGUUGUUGUACCAAAAGCGCAUGACAAAUAAGUCUAUAAAUCCAGCCAUACAUAGUACACGGAAAUGUUCUGCAACAAGAUAUCCAAACAGAUUUACAUUUGUUUAUUUCAGACAUUUUAUAAACAUGAUACGACAGAUCAAGUAGGACUAUUAACAAAGAGCUACCAAAAGCUAUUAUAUUUUCUAGUACAUUUUUGCUAAAUCUUGUUAACACAAAGAGGCCUAUGAGUGAGCUAGCAUACUAGUUUGUUGCAUGUUAUUCAAGUUGUUCUCUAUCUAAAUGACACGUAUGAAAGUCAAACCACUUGAAAUAUAGUCCCAUCUAUCGUCAUACAAAAGCAGUAUCAUAUAAAUUACUUUACAAGCAUUAUAAAAACGUAAACAAUUAAUUUGGCAGAUGGACUUGGGUGACCAUGUUAUUAACAAAAGGAGUGUGUUGAUGUGUGCGUGUGUGUGUUUCCUCAAGGUUGAAUGAGUUUGACGUGUGAAAAGAUACAACAAACAGCGGUUAUUUUACAGAUAGGCUUACGAGUGUAAAGACAACAAUUGCUUUGUCUGUGGGGGAGAAAGGGGGUGAAAGAGAGAGAUAGAGGGCUACAGAGGGCGGCUUCUAGCACACGGGCCUCCCUCUGGAGCUUUCAGUGUUAUUGAGGGUUUCUGUAGCAUGAAUUCUUCUAGUUGUGCUGAAGUGCACUGGUGGAAAGUCCUAGACCAAGUACAAUCCAGAGAUAUUCAUAAGGUGCUUAAGGAAUUCAAUUUCAUAAGGAUUUAGGGAAAUACUUUUUUAAUCCACUUCAUGGUUAAGAAAAUAUUUGUACAAGGGAUUGGCCUGUAUUCAGUUAAAAUAAAAACGGGAUUGGCCUGUAUUCAGUUAAAAUAAAAACCCGUAUACAUACUAUUAUAGGUGAAGCAAAAUAGGAUCCUUGACCGACAGGUCUUACUUUGCAUAAAAAAAUAGAAUGUGACUUCAUACCAAAACAUGGAGGUUACAAUAUUAGUAUUUUUUACUUUUGAUACGCAAGCAUUAAUUGUGUCAAAGGUUUUUAGGGUAGGGUAUUUAUAUGUCCACUACAUUAGGAUAGGAAUACUUGUCCGCCACUGCUAAAUAAUUUCCAUGACAGUUAGCCAAUAUUUCUUUAGGUUGUAAGUCUGUUCAGAAACAGGUCUAGAUGUUUGCCCAGAACCUAUUGACAGAAUAAGCUCCAUGUUGAGUAUAUAUUUGUGUAGGAUUUAAAUAAUUGAUUAGAUCAAAGGUGCCAUCUACAGUACAGCCUCCAGUCAGGAUGAAAAUACUAAUAUUUGAAUAUACUAAUUCAAGCUCCUUUUCUGGUCUUAGACAACGAGCAAACACAUUAAUAAAUACAAAUAAAUGCCACUAAUUAAUGUAAAUUUACUGCAAGAUUAUUUGACAUUUGUUUCAAAAUCGAAAUGCUGAAUGUUGUGUAUUUCUCCUUAAACUGUGAUUAAACAUUUGGAGACUAGGUUGGACGUAUGCGUGAAAAUAUGUCACACAGGAUAUUUGAUCCUGUCCCGGUCCAAAUAAUAACUAAAUAAUCAUAAUCACAUAAAAUCAAAAAUAUUUAUGAUCAAAUAUUUUGACUAAAUAGGCCUCAUCACAGAGGUUUAAUAGUAGGGCGAACACAGGUGUAUCUCAUGAUGUUAUUGUGAGCACUAUAUACUGCUUCGGCAAGCCUAUACAGAGUAAUAAUUGACUUAAUGAGAUACACCAGUUGUUAGCCCUACGAAUACAACGUCUGCCUAUAAUAGCUAUACUGCCCUACAAAUGCAAACUGCAGUAUCCGCAUCAACAGCGACACAGAAGUGUUGUGUUGUAGGUAGAUGAGACGAAAGACAAUUACUAAACAACGAUUCAAUCAGCAUAUUGAUCACAAAAAAUGAAAUCCCAAAUAAUUUUGACCCAUGACCCCAAAAAUACAAAGACUGUACAACGGCAUUGUGCAGUAACUGGUGUCUCGAUACAGAUGCCUUGAAAAAAAGUAUUUCUUGCUACAUUCUAUUUGGUUUUAAUCACUUAAUUUAGAGGUCUGAAUGUUAAAGAAUGUAGAUUAUGAGAUUAAAAGAGACAGUGAAGUAUUUUGUUGGAAAAUCCACUUAAAUUCAGUAAAACAAAGAUCACGUAUUAACCUCUUCUUCAUCAUCUUAUUACAUUGUAUGAGAAUUUUGCCAUAAUGUGCAGAUACUACGGUUUGCCUUUAGAGAUUAAUGUGACUAUAUCAGUAUAUGUAUGCAUUAUAAGACAACUCGGCUACAUACCUGCCAUGGUUACUAAAAAGCUCUAUAUUGAUAUGGUUUCAAUGUUUCUAUAGGGAGCUAACACGGGCUGCAAAAAGUGCUUUAAAUCUCUCCUUACCUGCAAGAUAGUCGGUUCGCAAUUUUUAUUAAAAAUAAGCUGUCACCAAAUCAGAAAGCAGUUAUACAGACCAAAGAGAAAUUGCACAAUAUUUGCUUAGAAAAAGUGAAUUGCUGAAACGCUCACCGUGAAAGGGAGGUUCAAACGAUCCAUUCGACAUUUCAUUCAAGAACAAAACAUCUCAUACACACACUUACCCCAGCGGUAAACAUAUCAACUCAUAGCGAUCAGUCGCUGAGAUCAAUCAUGAGGUGCUGGUAAAUCUGGGUCUUCCCCUUGAAGCUGGAUGACAGCAGGAAGUGGCGGUUGUCAACGGCGACGGUGGCGAAGGCGCGAGGGGCCUGGAUGUUCAGCUCCUGCGAGUGGACGAACUGGCCCCUCACGGAGUCCCACUGGUAGACCUGCGUCAGUGAGUAAUCACUGCCCAAGAUGGCGUACUGCCAGUUGCCGACGGCAACGGGCUGGAAGACCAUUGAGCCUCGGGACGGGAAGGUCUGGACCUCUUUGAACAUGGCGCCGUCCCAACGCAUCACCUUGGAGUCGCCAAUGAAUCUUGUCAGGCAGAUAAAGACCUCACCUUCCAGGAGAUAAAAAACACUGGUUAAUGCAUUGGAUUCGGAACCCAGAGAAUUUGUCUUUAGGAAACACACGGCCUGGGGCCGGAGAGACGGCUGGGCCAUGCUGGGAGUCAGCGGUUUUUCUGCCAGGGUGUUUGAGGGGAGAAGAUAUAAUGGAAGUUUAACUCUUUCAAAAAAUUAAAGGAACUACAAUUAUUAUUCUGGAUUUUUGUGGGCGGGAACUCUGGAUUAUUCUCUGGCACUGGGUUAGGAUGGUUAUGGGUUUAGAAGGGGUUAAAAGUUAUUCUCAACAUAGAGUUCUGCAUAAUAUCAUGUGGAAAUCCAUCUUCGUUUCUAUUCUAUGUAUUUCCGCCUCAACUCUUUUUGGAACAGAAUAUGGCCACACAUAGUAAGAAGCUGUGAACAGAAUGUGUCCGUAUUCGAUUAAUAAUAUAUGAUAUGUAGGGUAUUACAUGUUGAUAUAAGAUAUAUUUGGCCCUUUUAUCAGAAGUGGCUUACUAUACUGGAGUAUACAUCCCAAAAGCAGGUGGUGCGUAACACGUCGUUUUUAUUUGCCGAUGCAACCAAAGUCUGACCUUUGAUGCGGAAGUGUUUGACGGAGAAGACGUCCUCCAUCUCGGGGAUGUCCGUGCGGCGGUCGAAGCGCUUGUGGCCGCGGUUCCACUGGUACACCACGGGCCGCUGGGAGCUGCUGGACAGGAUGAGGUGGGCCUUGUUGGAGAUCUCCACGUACUCCACGUCCGUGUCGCGGUACCACGGGUGCAGCGACUGGUGCGAGUAGAAGCCGUUGCCGUUCCACUUGUAGACUGUGGUGGAACCGGCCUGCCAGGAGGUCAAAGAGCUUGGUUUUAUUUUGUUUGAAUCCGUUUGUUUUUCAGCCGUUUCAUGCUAGCUUUAUUUAUUUUACGUGGGACACUUUUCUUAUUGUAUAGAAAUAUGAUGACACAAUCGGUCGUUAGCCAGCAUGGCUCCAGCAACCAUGGUGCUAGCCAGAAAGAUCUUAAUAAGUAAUAGACGCGCUCAUCAGUUGUCAAACUGUUCAACAUCUUCACUGUGCUUCCCACAAAUGUCCCUUGUAGGGCGGGGGUAGAAUGGGGGUCUUUCAAAUAAGUGGACACCACGAGGUGAUGGCCAGCGUUGACCCUUUCAGUGGAAAGAAUGGUGCCCUGUUUCUUCUAACAAAAACAACAGAAAUAUGAAACGUGUCCACCACCUUGGAGCUGUCGGCGAUGACGAAGAAGAACUCGCCGUCCACCCUGAAGGCCUCCACGUCGUUGGGCUUGCGGAUCUUCAGGAUGUCGAUGUCCUGGAUCUUGAUGAAGCGGUUGGCUGACGUGUCGCGCUUGUAGAUGUGAGAGCCGCCGAAAAGCUGCGCCACGACGACAAAGAGGGCGCCAUCGAUCACCAUGGGCUUGCACACCACGAUGGAGGUACCUGGGAGAGAGA